rnacentral:tRNA from 1 species
CAGGAAAUAUUUUAUAUAAAAUGUUAAUUUUGGAGAUUGAUGAAGAAAUUAAGUAUUUCUUUCCUGA